GACGUAGGGCGCGAGCGUUGUCCGGAUUUAUUGGGCGUAAAGAGCUCGUAGGCGGCUUGUCGCGUCGCUGUGAAAACCCGCGGCUCAACCGUGUGGCUUGCAGUUGAUACGGGCAGGCUAGAGUUCGGUAGGGGAGACUGGAAUUCCUGGUGUAGCGGUGAAAUGCGCAGAUAUCAAGAGGAACACCGGUGGCGAAGGCGGGUCUCUGGGCCGAUACUGACGCUGAGGAGCGAAAGCGUGGGGAGCGAACAGG
rnacentral:rRNA from 1 species